UACAGAGGUCCCAAGCGUUGUUCGGAUUCAUUGGGCGUAAAGGGUGCGUAGGCGGCGCGGUAAGUCGGGGGUGAAAUCUCGGAGCUUAACUCCGAAACUGCAUUCGAUACUGCCGUGCUUGAGGACUGGAGAGGAGACUGGAAUUUACGGUGUAGCGGUGAAAUGCGUAGAUAUCGUAAGGAAGGCCAGUGGCGAAGGCGGGUCUCUGGACAGUUCCUGACGCUGAGGCACGAAGGCCAGGGGAGCAAACGGG
rnacentral:rRNA from 1 species